rnacentral:rRNA from 1 species
UGGCGGCACGCCUAACACAUGCAAGUCGAACGCAGUAGCAAUACUGAGUGGCAGACGGGUGAGUAACAUGUGGGAAUCUGCCUUGUGGUUCAGGACAACAUUGGGAAACCGAUGCUAAUACUGGAUAAGCCCUUACGGGGAAAGUUUUAAUGCCAUAAGAUGAGCCCGCAUUUGAUUAGUUAGUUGGUGAGGUAAUGGCUCACCAAGACAAUGAUCAAUAGCUGAUCUGAGAGGAUGAUCAGCCACACUGGGACUGAGACACGGCCCAGACUCCUACGGGAGGCAGCAGUGGGGAAUCUUGCACAAUGGAGGAAACUCUGAUGCAGCGAUGCCGCGUGAGUGAAGAAGGCCUUUGGGUUGUAAAGCUCUUUUGUAGGGGAAGAUAAUGACUGUACCCUAAGAAUAAGGUCCGGCUAACUUCGUGCCAGCAGCCGCGGUAAUACGAAGGGACCUAGCGUAGUUCGGAAUUACUGGGCGUAAAGCGCGCGUAGGCCGUUGAGUUAGUUAAUUGUGAAAUCCCAAAGCUUAACUUUGGAACUGCAAUUAAAACUGCUCGACUAGAGUUUGAUAGAGGAAAGCGGAAUACAUAGUGUAGAGGUGAAAUUCGUAGAUAUUAUGUAGAACACCAGUUGCGAAGGCGGCUUUCUGGAUCAACACUGACGCUGAGGCGCGAAAGUAUGGGUAGCAAAGAGGAUUAGAUACCCUCGUAGUCCAUACCAUAAACGAUGAUUGCUAGAUGUUGGAAAUUUAUUUUCAGUAUCGCAGCUAACGCAUUAAGCAAUCCGCCUGGGGAGUACGACCGCAAG